rnacentral:rRNA from 1 species
CGCUAGUAAUCGCGAAUCAGCAUGUCGCGGUGAAUACGUUCCCGGGUCUUGUACACACCGCCCGUCACACCAUGGGAGUCGGAAAUGCCCGAAGCCAGUGACCCAACCUUUAAGGAGGGAGCUGUCGAAGGCAGGUCUGGUAACUGGGGUGAAGUCGUAACAAGGUACC